rnacentral:rRNA from 1 species
GACGAACGCUGGCGGCGUGCUUAACACAUGCAAGUCGAACGGAAAGGCCUCUUUCGGGGGGUACUCGAGUGGCGAACGGGUGAGUAACACGUGAGUAACCUGCCCUUGACUUUGGGAUAACUUCAGGAAACUGGGGCUAAUACCGGAUAGGAGCUCCUGCUGCAUGGUGGGGGUUGGAAAGUUUCGGCGGUUGGGGAUGGACUCGCGGCUUAUCAGCUUGUUGGUGGGGUAGUGGCUUACCAAGGCUUUGACGGGUAGCCGGCCUGAGAGGGUGACCGGCCACAUUGGGACUGAGAUACGGCCCAGACUCCUACGGGAGGCAGCAGUGGGGAAUAUUGCACAAUGGGUGGAAGCCUGAUGCAGCAACGCCGUGUGCGGGAUGACGGCCUUCGGGUUGUAAACCGCUUUCGCUCAUGACGAAGCUUUGUGUGACGGUAGUGAGUAAAGAAGCACCGGCUAACUAC